AGGAUUAAGACAAACAUAACGCAUUCAACCAGCUGAUUGCUAAUGCUAGCUAAACUUACCCGUCGUUUUGUUUGCCUCCUGCGCUCUGCUCUUUUAACUU